rnacentral:lncRNA from 1 species
GCCCGUGUUUUUUGAAUUUGAAUAAUAGUGUUGGCACUCUGUGAUGGGUUUCUUUGCGUGCGUAUCUCAUUUACCUUGCUUUUUUGUUUUUUAUUGACUUUGCUUGUUUUGUUAUAAAAACGGGGCCAUUGGCCCAGUGGGUGAGGGGAUGGACUCCUACAUGACCCCCAAGGUCAGGGGUUCGAGCCAUGCCAGUGCACCCUGACCAUUUUCCUUUUUC